rnacentral:rRNA from 1 species
UACGUAGGGGGCAAGCGUUGCCCGGAAUCAUUGGGCGUAAAGAGCGUGUAGGCGGCUUGGUAAGUCCGCUGUGAAAGUCCAGGGCUCAACCCUGGAAUGCCGGUGGAAACUGUCAAGCUUGAGUCCGGAAGAGGCGAGUGGAAUUCCUGGUGUAGCGGUGAAAUGCGCAGAUAUCAGGAGGAACACCAAUGGCGAAGGCAGCUCGCUGGGACGGUACUGACGCUGAGACGCGAAAGCGUGGGGAGCAAACAGG